GGAGUGAGGGUGACCUGGCUGCGGCAUCUGUCAUUCCAAGGAUCACCAAGGUUGAUUCGGUUGAUUGUCUGGCUAGGUGAUGUCCCCUUCCUUCCUCACGACUCCAUGUGUGUCCGUCUGAAGCCACGCUUGCUUGAAGAGGACGACCAUACCCACUACAAGAGGACCAGUCUUCCAUCAAGGGUAUAAAAGUGGCUGUGCACCCUCGCCCACCCCUUCUAGAACCUUCAAACAAGCUCUUAAAUAGACUUCUU
rnacentral:sRNA from 1 species